rnacentral:rRNA from 1 species
GAUGAACGCUAGCGGCAGGCUUAAUACAUGCAAGUCGAGGGGCAGCAUGAUUGUAGCAAUACAAUUGAUGGCGACCGGCAAACGGGUGCGGAACACGUACACAACCUCCCAAUAAGUGGGGAAUAGCCCAGAGAAAUUUGGAUUAAUACCCCGUAACAUAACGAUGUGGCAUCACAUUGUUAUUAUAGAUUUUUCGCUUAUUGAUGGGUGUGCGGCUGAUUAGAUAGUUGGCGGGGUAACGGCCCACCAAGUCUACGAUCAGUAGCUGAUGUGAGCGCAUGAUCAGCCACACGGGCACUGUGACACGGGCCCGACUCCUACGGGAGGCAGCAGUAAGGAAGAUUGGACAAUGGACGCAAGUCUGAUCCAGCCAUGCCGCGUGAAGGAUUAAGGUCCUCUGGAUUGUAAACUUCUUUUAUAAGGGACGAAAAAAGGCUUUUCUAAGUCGUCUGACGGUACCUUAUGAAUAAGCACCGGCUAACUCCGUGCCAGCCGCCGCUGUAACAC